UCAGCAGCACAUAGAGUAUACUAAAAUUGAAACAAUACAGAGAAGAUUAGCAUGGGUACCUGUGCAANGAUGACGUACACAUUCAUGAAGUAUUCCUUUUUUAU
rnacentral:snRNA from 1 species